AUUGAACGCUGGCGGCAGGCCUAACACAUGCAAGUCGAACGGUAACAGGAAGCAGCUUGCUGCUUCGCUGACGAGUGGCGGACGGGUGAGUAAUGUCUGGGAAGCUGCCUGAUGGAGGGGGAUAACUACUGGAAACGGUAGCUAAUACCGCAUAAUGUCGCAAGACCAAAGAGGGGGACCUUCGGGCCUCUUGCCAUCGGAUGUGCCCAGAUGGGAUUAGCUUGUUGGUGGGGUAACGGCUCACCAAGGCGACGAUCCCUAGCUGGUCUGAGAGGAUGACCAGCCACACUGGAACUGAGACACGGUCCAGACUCCUACGGGAGGCAUCAGUGGGGAAUAUUGCACAAUGGGCGCAAGCCUGAUGCAGCCAUGCCGCGUGUAUGAAGAAGGCCUUCGGGUUGUAAAGUACUUUCAGCGGGGAGGAAGGGAGUAAAGUUAAUACCUUUGCUCAUUGACGUUACCCGCAGAAGAAGCGCCGGCUAACUCCGUG
rnacentral:rRNA from 1 species